rnacentral:lncRNA from 1 species
ACGGGUCGUGUCUGUCGUGUUCGUGUCGUUUUCGUGUAACACCUGUUAUCUUAACGGGUCCUUAACAAGUCGGGUCACUUUACCCAACGGGUAAAGUGACCCGACCCGUUAUGACCCGUUAUGACCCGUUAAGAAAAAUAUAUUUUUUUCUUAAAUUUGCACAUACCACACAUUACCACAUAAAUAUUACUUCAAAACAUUAAAACAUAUUUGUCAUUUAAGUACUACAUCUACACUCGAAAAUAAGAGCCUAAUAAAAAAACAUCCAUACACUAGUCUAUUACAAAAUAUUAAAUGUGCAAGGAUAUGCAAAAUGAAAGAGUUUUUGUUUUCAAGGUUGUGAAGCCUUUCUCAAAAGUUUAAACCUUGCCAAUAGAACUCAAAGUUUGAAUGUUAUUUCUUUUACAAAAUCCUCAAUUUUCAUCGAUCAUCAUGGGGAAAUUGUACUGGAACUUUGGCUUGAUCUAUUGCCUUCAAGAGUUAUAUUGAUGAUGUUUUCGGUAAGGUUUUCUACUUCAGAACUCUCUUCCGCAUAAACUAAGUAUAGAAAAAUCAAACAUUAAAAACCAUUCAAAUUAUACAAACAAGAUUGACGGUUGGAUCAUUGAAAUUAGUUUCAUAGAAUUCGUAUCACAUCCAAACCAUAGAUACUUAGACUUUAUUUAUAUUUUCAUAAAGUAUAACAUAAGAUUUUGAGGUAUCCACUUGUGUAAAUAUUUUAAAUUGACGAUCGAAUUCAUUCAUUUUAUUCGUAUAGGGUCAACAAGUGUAGUUGUAAAAACUCAUCAAAAUCGGAGUUAAAAUAACCGUUAAAUCGUGAUUUUUUGUUUUAUAACCGUCGAAAAGUUUUGUCUCAUUACUUGAUCUCUGAAUGUUUGUUUUUUGUGAUUUUUGGCGUAUGCGAUCUCGAAGCAUAUACAAAUAAGUUUGACGGUUGGAUCGUUGAAAUUAGUUUCAUAAAAUUCCUAUCCCAUCAAAACGAUAGAUUCACUAACACUUAGAGUUUAUUUAUACUUUCAUUAAGUAUAAAAUAAGAUUUUGUGGUAUCCACUUGUGUAAAUAUUUUAAAUUGACGAUCGAAUUCAUUCAUUGUAUUCGUAUAGGGUCAACAAGUUUAGUUGUAAAAAAUUAUCAAAAUCGGAGUUAAAAUAACCGUUAAAUCGUGAUUUUUUGUUUUAUAACCGUUGAAAAAUUUUGUCUCAUUACUUGAUCUCUGAAUGUUUGUUUUUUGUGAUUUUUGGCAUAUGCGAUCUCGAAGCAUAUACAAACAAGAUUGACGGUUGGAUCAUUGAAAUUAGUUUCAUAGAAUUUGUAUCCCAUCCAAACGAUAGAUACUUAGACUUUAUUUAUACUUUCAUUAAGUAUAACAUAAGAUUUUGUGGUAUCCACUUGUGUAAAUAUUUUAAAUUGACGAUCGAAUUCAUUCAUUGUAUUCAUAUAGAGUCAACAAGUGUACUUGUAAAAAAUCAUCAAAAUCGGAGUUACAAUAACCGUUAAAUCGUGAUUUUUUUUUUAUAACCGUCGAAACGUUUUGUCUCAUUACUUGAUCUCUGAAUGUUUGUUUUUUGUGAUUUUUGGCGUAUGCGAUCUCGAAGCAUAUACAAACACGUUUGACGGUUGGAUCAUUAAAAUUAGUUUCAUAGAAUUCAUAUCCCAUCAAAACGAUAGAUACUUAGAGUUUAUUUAUACUUUUAUUAAGUAUAACAUAAGAUUUUGUGGUAUCCACUUGUGUAAAUAUUUUAAAUUGACGAUCGAAUUCAUUCAUUGUAUUCGUAUAGGGUCAAAAAGUGUACUUGUAAAAAAUAAUCAAAAUCGAAGUUAAAAUAACCGUUAAAUCGUGAUUUUUUAUUUUAUAACCGUCGAAAAAUUUUGUCUCAUUACUUGAUCUCUGAAUGUUUGUUUUUUGUGAUUUUUGGCGUAUGCGAUCUCGAAACAUAUACAAACAAGUUUGACGGUUUGAUCGUUGAAAUUAGUUUCAUAGAAUUUGUAUCCCAUCAAAACGAUAGAUUCACUAACACUUAGAGUUUAUUUAUACUUUUAUUAAGUAUAAAAUAAGAUUUUGUGGUAUCCACUUGUGUAAAUAUUUUAAAUUGAUGAUCGAAUUCAUUCAUUGUAUUCGUAUAGGGUCAACAAGUGUACUUGUAAAAAAUCAUCAAAAUCGGAGUUAAAAUAACCGUUAAAUCGUGAUUUUUUGUUUUAUCACCGUCGAAACAUUUUGUCUCAUUACUUGAUCUCUGAAUGUUUGUUUUUUAUGAUUUUUGGUGUAUGCGAUCUCGAAGUAUAUACAAACAAGUUUGACGGUUGGAUCAUUGAAAUUAGUUUCAUAGAAUUCGUAUCCCAUCAAAACGAUAGAUACUUAGACUUUAUUUAUACUUUCAUUAAGUAUAACAUAAGAUUUUGUGGUAUACACUUGUGUAAAUAUUUUAAAUUGACGAUCGAAUUCAUUUAUUGUAUUCGUAUAGGGUCAAAAAGUGUACUUGUAAAAAUUAAUCAAAAUCGAAGUUAAAAUAACCGUUAAAUCGUGAUUUUUUAUUUUAUAACCGUCGAAAAGUUUUGUCUCAUUACUUGAUCUCUGAAUGUUUGUUUUUUGUGAUUUUUGGCGUAUGCGAUCUCGAAGCAUAUACAAACAAGUUUGACGGUUUGAUCGUUGAAAUUAGUUUCAUAGAAUUUGUAUCCCAUCAAAACGAUAGAUUCACUAACACUUAGAGUUUAUUUAUACUUUUAUUAAGUAUAAAAUAAGAUUUUGUGGUAUAUCCACUUGUGUAAAUAUUUUAAAUUGACGAUCGAAUUCAUUCAUUGUAUUCGUAUAGGGUCAAAAAGUGUACUUGUAAAAAAUCAUCAAAAUCGAAGUUAAAAUAACCGUUAAAUCGUGAUUUUUUAUUUUAUAACUGUCGAAAAGUUUUGUCUCAUUACUUGAUCUCUGAAUGUUUGUUUUUUGUGAUUUUUGGCGUAUGCGAUCUCGAAGCAUAUACAAACAAGAUUGAUGGUUGGAUCGUUGAAAUUAGUUUCAUAGAAUUCGUAUCCCAUCAAAACGAUAGAUUCACUAACACUUAGAGUUUAUUUAUACUUUCAUUAAGUAUAACAUAAGAUUUUGUGGUAUCCACUUAUGUAAAUAUUUUAAAUUGACGAUCGAAUUCAUUCAUUGUAUUCGUAUAGGGUCAAAAAGUGUACCUGUAAAAAAUCAUCAAAAUCGAAGUUAAAAUAACUGUUAAAUCAUGAUUUUUUGUUUUAUCACCGUCGAAAAGUUUUGUCUCAUUACUUGAUCUCUGAAUGUUUGUUUUUUAUGAUUUUUGGCAUAUGCGAUCUCGAAGCAUAUACAAACAAGAUUGACGGUUUGAUUGUUGAAAUUAGUUUCGUGUAUCCCAUCAAGUUCAAUGGUGUGUGUAUAUAU